GGUGGGCGAACGAUUGGAAAUCGUCGCGGAUGGCCGACUCCCGCCAAACGGGCGAUGGUGAAUAAACGGUUUUUACCUCUUCCAGGCCCAGCACUCCUUUGUUUUCGUACUGCGAGAGACCGUCCGCGUAGCUGCAUGACAUUUUUGCUCGCGCGUUAUCGCUCGACAAAUUAUUCGACUCCGAAAACCCUCGACUACGACGCUAACAAUGGCUCGAUCGUGUUUUUUAUUAGACGAAAACUGGCAUUUCGUGCACGAUAUCAAUGGUUUCCCAUGUGUCGGACGACACGUAAACAAUUUACUGCACUGCAUGCAAUGAAAUGGCACUUGAACAGAAAGAAGAUAAUAAACGUGCAACGCAUGCGCAGGAUGCGCCCCAGGGAGAGGUGGCUAUAGCGCUGCAGACGCUUGAGUUUCUCGCGUCCAUUCAAUUCAUGCCGCCGACAAUCAGCGCCAUCUACGGCUACUCUUCGCGAUUAAAAUUCGUUCGCGGUAAUAUUUGAAACAAUUAGUUGUUUAGUUGAAGAACUGUAAAGUGCGAUAUAAAGCGCGCGUUUUCGUUCUUCUUACCGUUCCUCUUUCUAUCGAUUCUCCCUGUAAAGUUUCCAGCGCUACUUCGUAUCUGUGCUUUCGCUCAGCGUUUGACGUUUAAAGCAUUUUGACAUGAAUUUUAUAAUAAAUAUUGGUACGAUCCCCUAUGAUUUCACAAAUUUUUGUAUAUAAAUAAAUUCUUAUAUUCUACGUAGUCUUAGAUAUCGUUGUGUAAAGUGAAAUAAGUUAAUAUGUUUAAAUAAAAUAAUAAGAGAAAGUGCCAUUUUGAAUAUUUAGAAGUUGAACAUUGAAAGUCUGGUACUCUUAGUCAUUAUAAUUUGCACAAAAUUAAUAAGAGGACUUUGAUAUGUAGAAGUCGAACGAAAUAUUAUAUCAUAAUUCAUUCUUUUAACAAUACUACUUUAAAAAAUUUUAAGCCUAAAACAAAUGACACGGUAUACUCUUUCAUGUUAUCCAAUUUAUUCAUAAAUCUGUAAAAAUACAAAAAUAAUUGAUCGAUUAAAAAAUUUUAUGAAAUCUCACGCAUUACUUGUAUUAUUUAUCUUAACUAAAUACGCGUGAAAUAAUAUAUGUGUAUUUAAAUACAACAGGUCACAAAAAUAUUAGGAUACUUACCACACACAAUUUUUAUAAAUAUAUUAUAUGCAUUGUACGAAACUUUAUGAAAUUUCAUUAGCACUAUAGUGAUACAUAACUAUCGUGAAUAUAAUAUUAAAAUUUGAAAUUCGAAAAUGUACAUAGAGGCUAC
rnacentral:misc_RNA from 1 species